rnacentral:tRNA from 1 species
GCAGGUGUAGCUCAGUAGUAGAGCGCUCCCCUUCCAGGGGAGAGGCGCAGUGUGCAAUCCCUGUCACCUGCU